rnacentral:rRNA from 1 species
CUUCCUAGCUAUGUUGGAGGCGCGGCGCACAGCUCAGUAGCACGUGGCUAACCUACCCUUGGGACGGAAACACCCCCGGGAAACUGGGGCUAAUUUCUGAUAGGUGAGGAACCCUGGAAUGGGUUUUUGCCUAAAGGGCGUCUGGAUCAUGCUUUCAGGCGUUGCCCAAGGAUGGGGCCGUGGCCGAUCAGGUUGUUGGUGAGGUAAUGGCUCACCAAGCCUUUUACCGGUGCGGGCCGUGGGAGCGGUUGCCCGGAGAUGGGCACUGAGACAAGGGCCCAGGUCCUACGGGGCGCAGCAGUUACGAAAAUUUCGCAAUAAGCGAAAGCUUGACGGAGCCAUCCCGAGUGCCGUCCGCUGAGGAUGGCUUUUACCUAGUGUAGAUAUCUGGGGGAAUAAGGAGAGGGCAAGUCUGGUGUCAGCCGCCGCGGUAAUACCAGCUCUCCGAGUGGUGUGGAUGAUUACUGGGCCUGAAGCAUCCGUAGCCGGCUGGACAAGUCCCCUGUUAAAUCCAACGAUUCAAUCGUUGGCUUGCGGGGGAUACUGUUCGGCUAGGGGGCGAGAGAGGCCGUCGGUAUUCUCGGGGUAGGGGUAAAAUCCUAUAAUCCCGGGAAGACCACCAGUGGCGAAGGCUGUCGGCUAGAACGCGCUCGACGGUGAGGGAUGAAAGCUGGGGGAGCGAAUCGGAUUAGAUACCCGAGUAGUCCCAGCUGUAAACGAUGCAGGCUAGGUGUUAGGGCGGCUACGUGCCGCUCUGGUGUCGCAGGGAAGCUGUUAAGCCUGCCGCCUGGGGAGUACGGUCGCAAGGCUGAAACUUAAAGGAAUUGGCGGGGGAGCACCACAAGGGGUGAAGCUUGCGGUUUAAUUGGAUUCAACGCCGG